rnacentral:siRNA from 1 species
UCCUCAGUAGCUCAGUGGUAGA